rnacentral:lncRNA from 1 species
CUGCUUUGAAUGGUUUUUAAACCGUCUCUCCAAAGCAAGUCCCUGCAGCCAUAGGGUCCUGUGACCAUAGGGAUGAAGAUCCGAGGGUCGUAGUAUGGCCCGCAGGCUUGCAGACAGAUCCUUGCCGGGGAGCCCGGGUGCCAGUGUGGGAAGCUGCGAUGCUUGGGUCCGGCCCGCAGACCGGUGAAGCAUUCAGCACUCCACACAGGGAUGGGAAGAUCCCUGGAGGGCGGGGAACGCUGGUCCUGCAAAACCAUUCCUCACGCAUCUUGCAGACCAAAGCAGUAGGCACCCCGCUAAAGGACACCAGCAGAUCUCUGCAAGCAGAUCUCAACAGGAAGGAGAGCAGUCAAGAUUUCCUUUCAUUUCCCAGCUCCUCACCACAGCAGCCCCCAUCUUCCCCUCCCUCCACACUAAGGUCGUUGUACAUGUGCCUUGGGUCUCAGCCGGCUCACCGUCUCUCCACAGUCACCAAAGAGAACCACGGGUCAUCAGAGGAAGCAGCUUUUAUUGAUGAGUUAUCUCCAGAGACCAAAAAGACUCUGCACCCACUUUCCAGCCUGCUUCCCAUCCUUCCUGGAUCUCACAUUGUUCCACCUGGGGAAGGGAUAUGACUUGCCUUGGUUUUCCAAAGCCCCCGUCUUUCCCCUCCCUGUGUAGCCUUAGAAAUUCAGUGGCGAUUGUGUUGUUUAUUUUUUUCAGCAAUGCCCGAUGCGGCUACUUAGUAACAAUUAUGGGUGGAGGGGCUUGGGGGGGGAAGCAGGUGGAUGAGUAGGAGUGAGGCACAGAAACAGGAACAGAACAUAGCCCGUCAAAGGUCCCUCUGUCCUGCCUCAGUGGCUUGAUCCUUCAUGGGUUGCCUUUCUCUUUAUGCUGAAUCACGCCCUUCUGAAUCAGAUCGGGGAUUUCCACUGCCAGCCAUGGACCCAGCUGCAACACAAGGGAGACCCUGUGAGAUUACCACCACCGAGUCAGUGCCUCUUGUCCCAUCAGAAGCUCCUUCCUAGACAGAUUUUUAUGAGCGUGCCCACGGAAAACACUGUUAUUCCCUGUUUACUCUCAGUUACUUUUCUUACAUUGCUCAGUGCCUAAUUCCUCUCCCUCCCCUAAUAUGCCAAAUAUCCCAAACUUACCCCCAGAGCCAUGAGAUGAGCUAGUCCAAACUUGGGCACGUUCCUGGCCCACAAAGGCUUAAAGUGAUCAGUCAGGCAUAUUUUGCCACCCCUAUGAGAGGGACAGGAGGAAGCAGGUGUUGACAUGCAAGGUUUACCAUAAAGCAUAGCAGCCUCUUGGAAGCACAAGAUGAUAGCCAGUGAUCAGAAUUAGGCCCAAGGUUAGCUGAGUACUUUGCCCAGGUGCGGUAGAGGGGAGCCUGGAGGCCUUCUAGGCGCUAGGACAAUUGUUGUCUCCCAGAGGUCUUCCCUAAGGCCUCUUAGACCUUUUCCCAUCUCCUUUUGAGUCCUACCUGUACAUCUUUGCUGUUUUUCCAUCCAGUUCAGGGACUGCAAUUUCUGGAGCAGUAGUGGGGUAUGUGAUAGGAAUCUGGAGGAAAUAUAAGGCCUUAAUGACACAAGCAUCGGGAUAGAAAGGAACUAAUCUAAUCACGCGUAUCUCUUGGUUGAACUGAAAUGUGCGACAAACCCCCCAAGCAGCAUGCCGACGCAGGGAUGCUGGACAUGGAGAGGAGUAGCUGUCCUCUCUGCUUGCUCCAAUCCUUAGCGUUUCCCUCCCAUUUUGAAAGUUUUCUCUGGUUCCUCCAAGAAAGGUUAGCUUGUUAACAGCCACCUAAUCCCUCCCCUUCCACUAACUUCCAUUUUCCCAUUCCAUCAGACUUACGUCAAACUCAAUGUCAAACUCAUAUUUGAGCAGGUCAUGGAUGUACCAGCAUUUUCCAAACCACCUGUAACAAAGACCAAACCUCAGUCCAAUCUGCCCAUUCUUCUCAUGCUCAAAUAACAUCUUCUUGGCUUAGGUGAUCAGCCUGGGAGACUCAUGGGAUGGGAACUGGGGCACUCUGGACUGUGGGCGGGAGACAGCUAAUAGGAGGCAGGGAAGGCCUGGCAGUGGGCUCUGGGACUUUAAAGUGCUCAAGCCAUGUAAGAUUCCCACCCCCCCAAACGACCAAGAGGGUCUGCCUACCGAGUCCCUUCCUUGUUGGACUCCAGUCGGAACCAAUCAUUGUCGGCAUUCUUGUUGUUCUCCACAUACUAAAAGCAGAGAAUGAGGUCUUUGAGGAGGGAGUUGAGGCCAAGGGCAGUCCUCUUCCCUCAACAGAAAAGUGUGUGGUUACUUUCUUAGUGUGUACCCAACUUUUUUUUUUUUUUAAAGCUCAUUUAUUUUGAGAGAGCAUGCACACAAGUGGGGGAGGAGGAGAGAUAAAGGCAGAGAGAGAGAGAGAGAGAGAGAGAGAGAGAGAGAGAGAGAGAGAGAGAAAAUCCCAAGCAGGCUCCUCGCCAACAGCGCAGAGCCUGACUCGGACUGCAUCCCAUGAAUCAUGAGAUCGUGACCUGAGUCAGAAGCUUAACCAACUGAACCACCCAGGUGCCCCUGUAAGUUGAAAUGUUUACUUUCCCUUCACAGGCACCUCAAACUCAGCAUUUCCCCCUGGUCCUUCAGACCAUUUCUCCACUGCACCAAUUUCGAUGACCGCAUUCACUUAGUCAUGCAAACCAAACCCUGGGAAUCAUCCUUGACCUUCCCUCUCCUCUCCUCUCCCCAGACCUUCACGAUGUCCUGCUGAUUUUACCCUUUGAAGGUUCUUCGAAUCUACCUCUUCUCUCUAUCCUAACUAUACCCAUCCGGCUUAGAUCAUCACCUUUCUUUCGCCUGGAUUAAUGACAGCCUCCUAAAUUUGCUUCCUCCCUUCAAUCUCAUCUCUUUCAAUUCCAUUUUCCUCUCCACUGCCAUUGUGACUGACCUAACCCCAAUCUGACCAUGCCAUCCCUCGGCUUAAAAUACCGUAAAGGUAUCCCAGUGCCUACAACAGAAAUUUCAAGAGCCCAAGCCGAUCUCUCAAGCCUUGUCUACCAUUCCCCGCCAUACACUUGACGCUUUAGCAACUCUGAACUGCUUCCAUUUCUAUGUUUCUUCAUAGGCAUCGUGCCCUUUCUAGCUUCUAUGCUUUUGCUCAUGCUGUUUCUUUUCCCGUCAACAUCUUUCUCUUAUCCUCAUGUUGAUCAGAUUAUGUUUACCCUUUCAGGCUCAGCUCAAGCACUGCCUCUUCGAGGAAGCCCUCCCGGACAAGACCCAAGCUGGAUUAGGUGUCUCACCUUCUGCUCUCAAAACAUCCUAGCGAUCUUUCCCUCCCCCUCUGCCGCCCCUUAACGAAUUGUAAUGAUUUGUUUCUAUCCAUCUCAGCAGGCUCCAGCUUAUUCGGCUUUGGAUCCCGUUCCUAGGUGCUAGGUUACAAUAAAUGUGGUGGGUGUUUGUUUGUUUGUUUGUUUGUUUUUUAGCGAAUAACGUGCUGCUGCCCUUUGAAACAGAGGCCACGGCAAGGAAGACAAACUUUCUUCCUUUUCCACAGAAGGGAGAUGAGCCGGGAAGAUAGCUCAUUCCUGACUGUGAGCUUCACUCCUCAACUCUUGGCAACUAACGCCUGAAUUUUCAGCCUUAGCCUGUGCCUCCCUCAGGAAGAGUGAAGGAAGGAGCAGAGCGAUGAGCCAGGGACUUGGAGCCCCAGGAAUCCCUUUUGACUGCCUCCCCUCCAUCCAGGAGGGGGACACCUUUUGACUGCCUCCCCUCCAUCCAGGAGGGACACGUCACCUUCCGGGGAGGCGUAUCCCUAAGACAACUGCUGCUUUGGCCCCGCCUGGGCUCCCAAAAUGAGUUUCCUUUGCCCCCUCCCCACCAUACCUUCCUAAGCCCCCCCCCCCAGCCCCACAAUCGUCCAGUUUCUCUGAAUUUGGGACUUAAACUUUAUAACCGGAAGCGGCUUCCACACGGAGCGUAUUCCCAAGGACACCCGAUUACCCGCAACCCUUCGGCGACGCGGUCGGCCGCAGAAGCACAACUAACCCGGAUAAGAGACUGAUAUUCCUCUUUGAGUCGCUGCACCCACAACUCACGAUCUCGAGGUCCGGCGUUAGUCUUCAGCACCGGGAUCUCAGACACCACACGCCGGGUAGCCUCGUCCGCCAUCUUGGACGAGGGCGCCAGAGAAACGCGGAAGUGGUACUCCCUGCAGUUUACACUCAGGGGGCCGCCAUCUUUACUGUGGGAAGAUGGGCUGUUGGGCUGCCUUCGGACUUCUUUGAGUGCGGUCUUUAUUUUCUUGUAACGAAGACAAAUUUGUCACCUGGUCACUUGUGGGUGCAACGGAAAAAAGAGAACGUAACGGAUUGCUUCUUUAUAUGGUACCUAUUAUUUAAAAAACCCGCA